AGAGGCAAGAGAGGACGGUCAUGUCCAGCACUGCUAGGCACUUUCUGCCGUCAUCUGAGUUCUUGCCCAGUUCCUCAUCCUUCCACGGAGAGGCAAGCUAGAGCCGAAUGGGAAGCCGCGUCUCUAGUAGCCUUUGGAGGUUUGUCCAGGAGAGACAGGAACCAGAAGCCCUACAGGGGAACGGCCCCCUGACCUUCCAGCCAUGCAGCUCUGAUAAGUAGGCAGGCCCCAUGCCGGGAGAGCCACAGACAAGCCGGGUGAUUCUGAUAGAAAUUAGUUAAGCAAUCUUGUCUCUGGGGCUCACGGCCCAGCUGUGGGUGCGAGCCUCUGACAGACACUGUCGUCAAAGCCACAGUCAUGGCCAACGGGACCGACGCCUCUGUCCCGCUCACCAGCUAUGAGUAUUACCUGGACUACAUAGACCUCAUUCCUGUGGACGAGAAGAAGCUGAAAGCCAACAAGCGCUGUUACUGGAAACCUUCCCAGUGCUAACAGCUAGCAGAGACACCAUUUCCACACAGUCACUGGCUCUGGGAUGCACUGUCUCCUGACUUCUGGCUGAGGACCAUUCGGCUGCCUGGUGGACUCAGCUGAUUCUGUCCCUUCCUGCAGAUUCCAUUGUCAUCGCCCUGUGGUUGAGCCUGGCUACCUUCGUGGUGCUCCUCUUUCUCAUCCUGCUCUACAUGUCCUGGUCGGGCUCCCCACAGAUGAGGCACAGUCCCCAACCCCAGCCAAUAUGUUCAUGGACUCACAGCUUCAACCUCCCUCUGUGCCUCCGGAGGGCCUCCCUGCAGACAACAGAGGAGCCAGGAAGGAGAGCUGGCACUGACCAGUGGUUAACGCAGCAGAGUCCUUCUGCCUCAGCCCCGGGGCCCCUGGCUCUCCCCUAGGACCAGGUCCAGGAUGGAGGUCCCAGGGCAUCAGCUGGCCUCACACUCAAGCAGUGGUGAGCCUGGAGACAGAGCGUCUCAACUGUAGAACGGAUGAUGCCAGAGAGCCAGUCGGGCUCAAGCAAACGGUGAACUCCAACCAACCCGGGCAGCUACGUCUUUUUUAGGGCCGUUUACAAUGGCCUUGAAUAUAGCAGGAAACUGACCGGGACAAAACCAAGUUUACAAAGAGGACCAUCACACACAUUGAUAGUGCAGCUAGGAUGCAGGAGCUGCCCUGGACACAGCUGUCUCUGUUGAGCAAGCUUAGCCUGCUUGCUGCUUACAUUUGCUUUGGGGGUACACAGGAAAAUAAAAUGUGAAUUAGGAUAAAGAAA